rnacentral:tRNA from 1 species
GCGGGUGUGGUGAAGGGGUAUCACCUGAGGUUUCCAACCUCAUGUCAUGGGUUCAAAUCCCGUCACCCGCA